rnacentral:rRNA from 1 species
CAGCCGCCGCGGGAAUACAGAGGGUGCGAGCGUUAAUCGGAUUUACUGGGCGUAAAGCGUGCGUAGGCGGCUUUUUAAGUCGGAUGUGAAAUCCCUGAGCUUAACUUAGGAAUUGCAUUCGAUACUGGGAAGCUAGAGUAUGGGAGAGGAUGGUAGAAUUCCAGGUGUAGCGGUGAAAUGCGUAGAGAUCUGGAGGAAUACCGAUGGCGAAGGCAGCCAUCUGGCCUAAUACUGACGCUGAGGUACGAAAGCAUGGGGAGCAAAAAGGAUUAGAUACCCCCGUAGUCCCUGUCUCUUAUAC